GUACACGAGCGGCGAACGGGUGAGUAACACGUGAGCAACCUACCCUCAACUUCGGGAUAAGCCUCGGAAACGGGGUCUAAUACCGGAUAUCACCCCUUUCCUCAUGGCUUGGGGUUGAAAGUUCUGGCGGUUGGGGAUGGGCUCGCGGCCUAUCAGCUUGUUGGUGGGGUAAUGGCCUACCAAGGCGUCGACGGGUAGCCGGCCUGAGAGGGCGACCGGCCACACUGGGACUGAGACACGGCCCAGACUCCUACGGGAGGCAGCAGUGGGGAAUAUUGCGCAAUGGACGAAAGUCUGACGCAGCAACGCCGCGUGAGGGAUGACGGCCUUCGGGUUGUAAACCUCUUUCAGCAGGGACGAAGCGAGAGUGACGGUACCUGCAGAAGAAGGACCGGCCAACUACGUGCCAGCAGCCGCGGUAAUACGUAGGGUCCGAGCGUUGUCCGGAAUUAUUGGGCGUAAAGGGCUCGUAGGCGGUUCGUCACGUCGGGAGUGAAAACUCGGAGCUCAACUCCGAGCCUGCUUCCGAUACGGGCAGACUAGAGGUAGGCAGGGGAGAGCGGAACUCCUGGUGUAGCGGUGGAAUGCGCAGAUAUCAGGAAGAACACCGGUGGCGAAGGCGGCUCUCUGGGCCUUACCUGACGCUGAGGAGCGAAAGCGUGGGUAGCGAACAGGAUUAGAUACCCUGGUAGUCCACGCCGU
rnacentral:rRNA from 1 species